GAGACAGCAGUCGCCGCGGUAAUACGUAGGUGGCAAGCGUUGUCCGGAAUUAUUGGGCGUAAAGGGCUCGCAGGCGGUUCCUUAAGUCUGAUGUGAAAGCCCCCGGCUCAACCGGGGAGGGUCAUUGGAAACUGGGAAACUUGAGUGCAGAAGAGGAGAGUGGAAUUCCACGUGUAGCGGUGAAAUGCGUAGAGAUGUGGAGGAACACCAGUGGCGAAGGCGACUCUCUGGUCUGUAACUGACGCUGAGGAGCGAAAGCGUGGGGAGCGAACAGGAUUAGAUACCCGUGUAGUCCCUGUCUCUUAUAC
rnacentral:rRNA from 1 species